rnacentral:rRNA from 1 species
ACGAACGCUGGCGGCGUGCUUAACCCAUGCAAGUCGAACGGAAAGGCCCUGCUUUUGUGGGGUGCUCGAGUUGCGAACGGGUGAGUAACACGUGAGUAACCUGCCCUUGACUUUGGGAUAACUUCAGGAAACUGGGGCUAAUACCGGAUAGGAGCUCCUGCUGCAUGGUGGGGGUUGGAAAGUUUCGGCGGUUGGGGAUGGACUCGCGGCUUAUCAGCUUGUUGGUGGGGUAGUGGCUUACCAAGGCUUUGACGGGUAGCCGGCCUGAGAGGGUGACCGGCCACAUUGGGACUGAGAUACGGCCCAGACUCCUACGGGAGGCAGCAGUGGGGAAUAUUGCACAAUGGGCGGAAGCCUGAUGCAGCAACGCCGCGUGCGGGAUGACGGCCUUCGGGUUGUAAACCGCUUUCGCCUGUGACGAAGCGUGAGUGACGGUAAUGGGUAAAGAAGCACCGGCUAACUACGUG